UUGCAAUACCUAAUAUGACAUACAUGUUUGCAAAUAGCUGCUAAACUGUACUGUUUAGGGAAUGUCUAGUUACUUUUCUCAUUGCUGAGACAAAAUACCCAACACCCAAAGUUAAAGGAGGAAGAGUUUGCUUCAGCUCACAGUUUGUAGAGGUUUCAGUCCAUAGUCUGUUGGCUCCAAGGCAGGGGGUCAUGGCAGAGGACCAUCACAGAGGAAAAAUAGUCCAUGGCAAAGCAGGCAGGAGACAGUGAAGCAGUGAGCAGCAGCAGCAAGCCUGCCUCUCCCUUCUUACCUCAUCCAGGCUACCAGUCUUUUGGGUGGUGCCACCCACAGCAAGGGUUGGGCUUUCCAUUAGCCACACUUAGAACUGUGCUAGACCAAUCAGUGGACUAAUUCAGUAAUUACACACCCUUAAUCCCAGUAUCACACUCUAGAUCCAGCCAUCUCUGAAAAGCCCCACCUAUGACCACAUGAGGGUUUAUGAGGACAUCUAGAUACAAGUCAUAAUGGGGAAUAAUGGUAAGAAAAAAGUCUGUACAUGUUCAGUACAUGUGCAGUUGUUCUUUUUCCAAAUAUUGUUGAACUGCAAAUAGUUGAUUCUACAGAUAAUGGGAGGGUGUCCAUCUUUAGGAAGGCUAUGAGCAGGCAGCCUCUUAGGAAUUCAGCCAAGAGGAAAAGCACUCUGAUUAUGAAUGGAACAGUAGGAAACUGAUUCCUGCAAAUGAUAGCAGCAAGACAAGAACCACGGAUCAGAGAAAUGACAGGAAGGAGGAAUGCUCCCUGCCAGUAGCCUCAUGCCAGGGAACAACUACCACAGUAAGAGAUCACAGCCCUGGGCUUUGAACAGUGAAUAAAGGAAGCCUACCCAGGCCUGCCUGGCCCCUGGGCAAACACAACAUGCACUCUCAAACCUGGGGCUAGGGUUUCAGACACAGAAGUAUUGUUAUAUUAUGAUUAAG
rnacentral:lncRNA from 1 species